rnacentral:rRNA from 1 species
GACGAACGCUGGCGGCGUGCUUAACACAUGCAAGUCGAACGGAAAGGCCCUGCUUUUGUGGGGUGCUCGAGUGGCGAACGGGUGAGUAACACGUGAGUAACCUGCCCUUGACUUUGGGAGAACUUCAGGAAACUGGGGCUAAUACCGGAUAGGAGCUCCUGCUGCAUGGUGGGGGUUGGAAAGUUUCGGCGGUUGGGGAUGGUCUCGCGGCUUACCAGCUGGUUGGUGGGGUAGUGGCUUUCCAAGGUUUUGACGGGUAGCCGGCCUGAGAGGGGGACCGGCCACAUUGGGACUGAGAUACGGCGCAGACUGCUACGGGAGGCAGCAGUGGGGAAUAUUGCACAAUGGGCGGAAGCCUGAUGCAGCAACGCCGCGUGCGGGAUGACGGCCUUCGGGUUGUAAACCGCUUUCGCCUGUGACGAAGCGUGAGUGACGGUAAUGGGUAAAGAAGCACCGGCUAACUACGUG